rnacentral:rRNA from 1 species
AUACGGAGGGUGCAAGCGUUACUGGGAAUCACUGGGCGUAAAGCGCGCGCAGGCGGCUAUUUAAGUUGGAUGUGAAAGCCUACGGCUCAACCGUAGAACUGCAUCCAAAACUAUUUAGCUAGAGUGUGGGAGAGGAAGAUGGAAUUAGUUGUGUAGGGGUAAAAUCCGUAGAGAUAACUAGGAAUACCAAAAGCGAAGGCAAUCUUCUGGAACACUACUGACGCUGAGGCGCGAAAGCGUGGGGAGCAAACAGGAUUAGAUACCCUAGUAGUCC